rnacentral:sRNA from 1 species
AACAGUAUUGACUGCCUAAGACAGUAGGUGCCUAUGGGCAUAACAGAGAUGGCCUACCGAGGAAAGUAUAUAUUCACUGAGUGAAUUCUGCCCUCUUGUCGAAAGCAAGAGGGCUUUUUU